UUGUCGUCGGGGCGCCGACACAAAAAGUAGGGGUGGAUUGUAGCAGGUUGGCCCUGCCAUCACGUUAGUGUGUGUGAUUGACAGCUGCUGAUUGACAGCAGUGGGCGGGCAUAAUCUAUUUAUAUGAAUGGACCCUUGCUUCCUGUCUCGUUUCCGCCACACAUUGUUUUGGCGUGAGCCUGGGCUGCGUUUGUUGCCGAGGGGCCGCAGAUGAACCGUGAGGUGCGGCGUUCACUCAGCACUUGUGAUCGCUUGGGAGCGCACUGAUAAACUCCAAGGAGCUAGGAGCUGUGUGGACACUGGUUGGCCUGCUCGUGGAGGUAGUUGGUGUGGCGUGGUGAUCCUCGAAAGCGUUGUGCUGGUGACUCGCGUGUCUGAGCCUUCAUCCGCGGCCCCUCCGGCACGAACCAACCAGUGUGUCUGUGCCUACGGGUCUGUCGGCUGCUGUUUCGCCUGGGACAAUUUGGGUUUGAGUCUCCCCUUGCUUUGCACCUGCAGCGCUGUGGCUUGGCCGUGCUUCGCUGGGUACGGGGAGGAAUUGCGCUUGUAGCCACGCUUGCCCCUUCACCUCGCUUUGCCUGCACGGAGCGUGCAUGUCUGUCGCAACUGUCCGAGGGUGCACGGUUUCAGUGGCUCCGCCUGUUUUUAACCCCUUUUGUGCUGUGCGUUAUUUAUUUUCAUUUCAUUUAUUUCUGCAUGCUUAUUUGUUUGCUGUGCUUCUGCAUGCUGCUUACUCUGCUAGGU